AUGGAUUAUGGGUUUUCUUUUUCCAGAUUGUCUUGGAUUCAGAUGAUUCAUUGUUUGGAGGCUUCAACAGGCUCGAUCAUACUGCUGAGUUCUUCUCUUCGGAAGGGUGGUACGAUGACCGGCCUCGUUCCUUUCUAGUGUAUGCACCUUCUAGAACAGCAGCGGUAUAUGCCCUUGUGGAUGAUGAAGCUGAAAAACCACCUGGACCAGAAUCAAUGUGAUGCAAGAUGUAACCUGCUGCUUUCCUGGAUAAACAGGUGACAAGGGCAUCAUGGCAUGAUAGAUGCAGUAAUAACUCUAGGACCAUCUAGCCAGCCCACAACCUAUAUAGUGAUUUGAUCACGACGGAAAAAUAUGAAGCAGAAAGAAUGGGAAAUAACACCAAGUUAGAAAUAAUGUAUAGCACUUCAUGCUUUUGUAUUAGCACAUGACAUGGGUAGUGGCAUAGCAUUUGAGGAAAUGCAAAGCCAGGAAAGUACUAACGUCGGAUUCGAUGCCAGUUACAAAGCUUUUGUAAUAGAGCAUCUUCUACAUGUCGUCUCAGGGAUUGCCACUUACAUUUGCGGGGUAUUGUAAUUUGUACACGGUUUCUUGAGAUUUAAUUUAAUAAUUUUGUUGGUCAAGACCAGCAAUUCAUAAUGUACUGUUGAGG